GAUGAACGCUGGCGGCGUGCCUAAUACAUGCAAGCCGAGCGAACGGACGAGAAGCUUGCUUCUCUGAUGUUAGCGGCGGACGGGUGAGUAACACGUGGAUAACCUACCUAUAAGACUGGGAUAACUUCGGGAAACCGGAGCUAAUACCGGAUGAUAUUUUGAACCGCAUGGUUCAAAAGUGAAAGACGGUCUUGCUGUCACUUAUAGAUGGAUCCGCGCUGCAUUAGCUAGUUGGUAAGGUAACGGCUUACCAAGGCAACGAUGCAUAGCCGACCUGAGAGGGUGAUCGGCCACACUGGAACUGAGACACGGUCCAGACUCCUACGGGAGGCAGCAGUAGGGAAUCUUCCGCAAUGGGCGAAAGCCUGACGGAGCAACGCCGCGUGAGUGAUGAAGGUCUUCGGAUCGUAAAACUCUGUUAUUAGGGAAGAACAUAUGUGUAAGUAACUGUGCACAUCUUGACGGUACCUAAUCAGAAAGCCACGGCUAACUACGU
rnacentral:rRNA from 1 species